UGACUUGGGUUUUAUGAAAUAAAAUAGGAUUUAUAUUUUGAGUGAUUUCGAGAGUUUUGUUGCAGAUCUAUGGGUGAAUUUUUUUGGAUUCAUGGUUAUAGUUGUGUUAAAUACAUGUUAUGAAUUUGAGCUUGAUCUAACGGUUGAACUAAGAGAUAUUGAGGUUUAAGUGAGUCAAGGUCUCAAAAAGUAGAAUUUUAGGUCCAGUGAGGGUUUUUAAGAUUUCAUGCAAUCUACUAGUUGGAUUGGAAUAAAUCUUGUGUGAGAGGAUAUAAAACUUGUUUUCCUAUGUCCAUGAGAAAUUUGAAACCAAUUGAAUGGCGCAAAGAAGAAAAUUGACUCUGGAAGGUUGGCAAUAAGAAUGGAGAAGGAGGCCGGCUAACACUCGAACACAUUUUUGAGGUUUUCGUCAAUUUGGUAACUCCGAUCCUUUUCAAAAAAAUUUUGCUUGUUUUGAACUUGAUUUUUAAGAAGUGUGCAAAUUUUGAAUUGAGAUCAACGGUUUAUUCAUUAGAUAUUGAGGUUUAAAUCUGUCAUAGGAAUUAUUAGGAUUUGGAUUAGGAUUUGGAUUAGGGUUUAGGAUUUAGUUAGGGUUUGAUUUAGGGUUUGGAUUAGAGUUUGGACUAGGAUUUGGUUAGGGUUUGAUUUAAGGUUUAGUUUAGGGUUUAGGAUUUGGAUUAGAAUUUAGGGUUGGAUUAGGGUUUGGAUUAGGGUUUGGAUUAGGAUUUAGGAUUUGGUUAGGGUUUGAUUUAGGGUUUAGGAUUUGGAAUAGGGUUUAAUUUAAGAUUUGUUUAGGAUUUGAAUUAGGAUUUAGGAUUUGGAAUAGGGUUUAAUUUAAGAUUUGUUUAGGAUUUGACUUAGGAUUUAGAAAUUAUUAGGGUUUAAGAUUUAAUUAGGUUUGGUCUAAAGUUGAAUAAAAUUCAAUAGGGUUUUAACUAGAAUUAAAUUAAGGUUGAAUUGACAUAUAUUUGAGUAAAAUUUGUGAUCAUUCUAAUAUUUCUUUAAGAAUUUUAUUGUUUGUUUGAAAUUUCUUUGAGUUGUUUUGAAUUUGAUUACGUUUGUUUACCAUUAUUAUAGUCUAAUUAGAAAAUUGUUAGUAUUCUAAUAGAAUACUAAAAAUGCUCUAAUUAGACCAUAAUAAUGCUAAGCAAGCUUAAUCAAAUUUAAAAAAAACUCAAAGAAAUUUCAAACAAACAAUAAGAAUUCUUAAAGAAAUAUUAAAAGGAUGACAAAUAUCACUCAAAUACAUCUCAAUUCAAUCUUAAUUUAAUUCUAGUUAAAAUCCUAUUGAAUUUCAUUCAAAUAUAGGCCAAAACUAAUUGAAUCUUAAAUCCUAAUAAAAUCCUAAAUCAUGAAUCAAAUCCUAAAUAAAUCUUAAACCAACCACCAACCAAAUCCUAAACCAAAUCCUAACCAAAUCCUAAACCAAAUCCUAAACCAAAUCCUAAACCCUAAAUCAAACCUUAAUCGAAUCCUAAUCCAAAUCCUAAAUCCUAAAUCAAACCUUAACCAAAUCCUAAAUCCUAAAUCAAAUCCUAAUC
rnacentral:lncRNA from 1 species